GACGAACGCUGGCGGCGUGCCUAACACAUGCAAGUCGAACGAAGAAUGUUUUCGGAAUAUUCUUAGUGGCGGACGGGUGAGUAACGCGUGAACAAUCUGCCCCGUACAAAGGGAUAGCCUCGGGAAACCGGGAUUAAAACCAUAUAACACUUAACUGCCGCAUGGUAGUGAAGUCAAAUCGAUUAAGAGGUAUGGGAUGAGUUCGCGUCUGAUUAGCUAGUUGGCGAGGUAAGGGCUCACCAAGGCGACGAUCAGUAGCCGGCCUGAGAGGGUGAACGGCCACACUGGAACUGAGACACGGUCCAGACUCCUACGGGAGGCAGCAGUGGGGAAUAUUGCACAAUGGAGGGAACUCUGAUGCAGCGACGCCGCGUGAGUGAAGAAGGUCUUCGGAUCGUAAAACUCUGUCCUUGGUGAAGAAAAGGACGGUAGCCAAGGAGGAAGCCCCGGCUAACUACGUG
rnacentral:rRNA from 1 species